GUGCCUUAAACUAAUGAGUAAGGAAAAUAUGUGGCUUUGGUAACGCUUAGCAAUGUCUUAGUACAUACAGGCGAACCUAUUUUUGAAGAGGCUCAGGUCGUCCCGAGGCUGCUUGAACUACUUUUUCAGGCGUGCUACGGUGAAGCGAUCUACCUC